rnacentral:rRNA from 1 species
AUGAGUGAUCGUGCGUGGAUGUACACCGGUCACCCUAGUCAGAAAGACAUGACCCCUGAAUGGAUGACAAAAACCAAGGGGUUUAUCAGAGCCGCAUUUGCAAAUGGACAAAAAACAACCUGGUGCCCCUGUUUCGAGUGCAACAACUAUCGUAAGAUGUCAGAGUUUGAAAUGAUCAAACACCUGCAGAAGUGGGGUUUUACGCCCGGUUAUACGAUGUGGACAUUUCAUGGUGAGUCUGCCCAAUGUUACAGAGCUGAGGAGGGCCGUCGUCGCACCGACGAGCAUGGUACCGGGAUGGAAGACAUGGUGCAAGACUUUGAUGAUGCUCGGGAUUCGGACGAUGAGAUGGAGGAAUCUGCAAAGGCCUUCAAUGAUAUGUUGGAGUCUUCGAAGCGUCCUCUCCAUGAGCACACCGAGCUUUGUCAGCUGGAUGCCAUCGCACAAGUAAUGGCUCUGAAGGCUCAAUUCAACUUGGGCAGAGAAUGCUAUGACGCGAUAGUGACACUAUUUGGACGCUUUCUACCCAAAGGCCAUAUAAUGCCUGCAAACAUGUACCAGUCGGACAAAAUCCUCCGUGUACUUAAGAUGCCCUAUGAGAAGAUAGAUGCCUGUGAGAAUCGAUGUGCCUUAUUUAGGCUCUAG